AUGUUUGGCAAGAUCCACAAUAUGCAUAACUGUUGUGGUGUUAUAUGUACAACUCACAUACCAUUUGGACCAAACUGGGACCAUGAGAAGAAUGGUAGCACACUGAUGCAAGUCAUCGUUGAUCUAGAGAUGAGGUUCGGAAACACUUGGUUGGGACCAGUGGGUAGCAUGAACCAGUUGGGCCUUUUGCAGGACUCUGGAAUCUUUAAAAGGUGUGAAAAGGGCGAUUGGCUGAAUGGCAGGAAGUUGAAGGUAGCAUUAGAUGAAUCAGAAGCUGGGGAAUACAUAAUUGGUGAUGCAGGAUAUCCUCUUCUGCCAUGGCUACUCACACCUUACAAGGAACGAGACCUGUCGGACUCCAAGGUGCAGUUUAACAGGGGACACUCCUCAACCACAACCUGUGCUCUGAAGGCACUGGCAAGGCUCAAAGACACAUGGAAGUACCUGCAGGGAGAGAUGUUGUGCCCUGUCAAUCUAGGCACUCUAUAUAAGGCAAUCUAUGCCUGUUGUAGGUUGCAUAACAUAGUCAUAGAAAUGGAGGAUGAUUCGGCCAUGCUGAGCCCCAAGUGGAGGAAUUACUCUGAGGAAGUGCGCCAAUUAGCAUACGAGGAUGCCCUCAAGGCGAGGGAUAUGUUGUCGCAACACUUCCUGGCCAGCUGGUCAUCUGAAUUGGGAGAGGAGGAGGAUGAAGUAGCUGCAUCAGGCUGA
rnacentral:rRNA from 1 species